rnacentral:rRNA from 1 species
AUUGAACGCUAGCGGGAUGCUUUACACAUGCAAGUCGAACGGAGUGGCGGACGGGUGAGUAAUAUAUCGGAACGUGCCCAGUAGCGGGGGAUAACUACUCGAAAGAGUGGCUAAUACCGCAUACUAUUUGAGCGGCCCAUAUCGGAUUAGGUGGUGGGGGGGGGAAAGGCUCACCAAGGCAACGCUCCGUAGCUGGGUUGAGAGGACGACCAGCCAAACUGUGACUGAGACACGGCCCAGACUCCUACGGGAGGCAGCAGUGGGGAAUUUUGGACAAUGGGGGAAACCCUGAUCCAGCCAGCCCGCGUGUAUGAUGAAGGCCUUCGGGUUGUAAAGUACUUUUGGCAGGAAAGCGGUAUCUGCAGAAUAAGCACCGGCUAACUACGUGCCAGCAGCCGCGGUAAUAC